rnacentral:sRNA from 1 species
AGUAUACGUUGGAGGAUCCGCUCACAAGCUGAAUCUCAUCGAUUUGAAGCAAACGCGUGGGUUUUUAAGCCAAAUUAUCUGAAAAUUCCGCAUUUUUUCUCUAUUUUUCAGGCCCACAAAUCGUCAUUGGAACUCCUGGUCGGAUAGCACAGCUCGUCAAGCUCGGAGCAAUGAACAUGUCCCAUGUGGACUUUUUUGUGCUCGAUGAGGCGGAUAAGCUGAUGGAUGAAGUGUUUAGAGAUGAUAUAAAGUACGAAAAAUCAUAGUUUUUCCCCCCCCCCCCCCCCCCCCCCCGAAAAACCUCGGAUUUUUCAGUAUUAUCAUCAAUUCUCUGCCUCAAAUCCGCCAAGUUGCCGUGUUUUCAGCCACCUACCCGCGAAAUCUUGACAAUUUGUUGUCGACUUUUCUCCGCGACGCGGCACUUGUUCGGUUUAACGCUGG